rnacentral:rRNA from 1 species
CCAGACUCCUACGGGAGGCAGCAGUGAGGAAUAUUGGUCAAUGGGCGCGAGCCUGAACCAGCCAAGUCGCGUGAGGGAUGACGGUCCUACGGAUUGUAAACCUCUUUUGCCGGGGAGCAAGCGUGCGUUCGUGAACGCGCGUCGAGAGUACCCGGAGAAAAAGCAUCGGCUAACUCCGUGCCAGCAGCCGCGGUAAUACGGAGGAUGCGAGCGUUAUCCGGAUUUAUUGGGUUUAAAGGGUGCGUAGGCGGAAUGCCAAGUCAGCGGUAAAAUCGCGGGGCUCAACCUCGCUCCGCCGUUGAAACUGGCGUUCUUGAGUGGGCGAGAAGUAUGCGGAAUGCGUGGUGUAGCGGUGAAAUGCAUAGAUAUCACGCAGAACUCCGAUUGCGAAGGCAGCAUACCGGCGCCCAACUGACGCUGAAGCACGAAAGCGUGGGUAUCGAACAGGAUUAGAUACCCUCGUA